rnacentral:rRNA from 1 species
CAAGAGACCCGACAACUCUCCCCCGAGGAGAGUGACCUUAGGGCGAGGCUUAAAAGGAGUGUCAUUAGCUUGGCAGUGCUUGAGAGAUCUCGGAAAAAGCAAAGUGCGAGAAUUGCUAACCUCAAGGAGGGUGAUGCCAACACCAAGUUCUUCCAUCACCGGAUUAAUGCUAGAAGGAGGAAAAAUCACAUUCAUAGGCUAAAGCAUGACCAAGGGUGGAUCACCGAGCAUGAA